rnacentral:rRNA from 1 species
AAACUAAUUUAAUUUGGCGGCAUUUCAUCUAAUCAGAGGAAUUUGUCCAUUAAUCGAUAUUCCACGUUAAAUUUCACUUUAAUUUUAAAAUUUAUAUACCGCCAUCUUAAGAAUCAAUUAAAAAAUCUCUUUCUAAAUAAAUAAUAAAAAGUUAGGUCAAGGUGUAAUCCAUAUAAAAGAAUAGAUGAAUUACAUUAAAUAAUAUUUAAAGAUUAUCUAUAAAAUAUAAAUAUAAAUAAGGAUUUGAAAGUAAUAUACAAAUAAUAAUUUCAUAUGAAAAAGAUAAUAAAUGUGCACACAUCGCCC